rnacentral:rRNA from 1 species
GAUGAACGCUGGCGGCGUGCCUAAUACAUGCAAGUCGAGCGAACGGACGAGAAGCUUGCUUCUCUGAUGUUAGCGGCGGACGGGUGAGUAACACGUGGAUAACCUACCUAUAAGACUGGGAUAACUUCGGGAAACCGGAGCUAAUACCGGAUAAUAUUUUGAACCGCAUGGUUCAAAAGUGAAAGACGGUCUUGCUGUCACUUAUAGAUGGAUCCGCGCUGCAUUAGCUAGUUGGUAAGGUAACGGCUUACCAAGGCAACGAUGCAUAGCCGACCUGAGAGAGUGAUCGGCCCCACUGGAACUGAGACACGGUCCAGACUCCUACGGGAGGCAGCAGUAGGGAAUCUUCCGCAAUGGGCGAAAGCCUGACGGAGCAACGCCGCGUGAGUGAUGAAGGUCUUCGGAUCGUAAAACUCUGUUAUUAGGGAAGAACAUAUGUGUAAGUAACUGUGCACAUCUUGACGGUACCUAAUCAGAAAGCCACGGCUAACUACGUG